rnacentral:lncRNA from 1 species
UAGUUUUUGUAGUUAUAUGGAAUAAUAUAUGGAUGCCUAUAAUUAUUCAUAUCUAUGAAUGGAUGUCACCAGUUUCUUGAGUCGAGUCCCAGCCAUUUUCUAGGCUGCAUGUCAGAUAAUUUUGAUGAUUUAAUCUGCAUGCAUGGAGAAUGAGCUUCCCUGCUUGAUUUACCUGUGAAAUAAACAGUGGAUGAAAACAG